rnacentral:rRNA from 1 species
UGGGGAAUAUUGCACAAUGGGCGAAAGCCUGAUGCAGCGACGCCGCGUGAGGGAUGACGGCCUUCGGGUUGUAAACCUCUUUCAGCAGGGACGAAGCGCAAGUGACGGUACCUGCAGAAGAAGCACCGGCUAACUACGUGCCAGCAGCCGCGGUAAUACGUAGGGUGCAAGCGUUGUCCGGAAUUACUGGGCGUAAAGAGUUCGUAGGCGGUUUGUCGCGUCGUUUGUGAAAACCAGCAGCUCAACUGCUGGCUUGCAGGCGAUACGGGCAGACUUGAGUACUGCAGGGGAGACUGGAAUUCCUGGUGUAGCGGUUAAAUGCGCAGAUAUCAGGAGGAACACCGGUGGCGAAGGCGGGUCUCUGGGCAGUAACUGACGCUGAGGAACGAAAGCGUGGGUAGCGAACAGG